ensembl:lncRNA
CUAAAAUUCAGUAAAGUUAGUGAGAUACUUCCCAUGCAAUGCAAACAGUAGAAAUUGCUUGAGGAAGCAACAAAAAGGAAAGCCUCCCAAGUACUGCCAUAGGAGUGAUAUGCUCACUCUGAGCUUGUUUGUAUUAGCCCUGCCUUCCACAACUGUGAUAGAAUGAGCAGCAAUAAUUCAACCUGAAGUGAAGUACAUCUCCAUCAAGAAAAUGGCAUUAGUUCCUGGCCUUUAGGAUAGCUGGAGAAACAUUUAUCAUUGUUAGUAGUAUUUCUGAACCUGAAAGUCCAACACAAAUCUGGAAACCACCUUGACAGUAGGAAAACCAGUGCCUACAGUGGGAGGCAGAACCAGCACCUGGCAAAUUCCUGGCAGUUGAUUCCUCUCUGGGGAAUACACCAGUGGUUUUGGGCCAGCAUCUUUUCUAGUCCCCAUGCCUAACUCUUUCCAUCUGCAGUGUCAUGUGUGACACCACUGACUGCUGAAAAAAAAAUUGUAAAGGAGGAUAUCAGCAGCCCACAAGCAUCACUGAAUCCCACAUGUCUCAGCAGCAUGUAUAGCAACAGAAGUAGAUGUAGAACAAAUGGAGCAGAAUUUAGCUGGAGAAAGGAAAACAUGAAGGUGAAUGGCUUUCACUGUUCUGACACGUCUGUAUCUGGCAUGCAAGGAAGAAAAGCAACACUACAUCAGAUACAUGUGGCACUAGCACUAGCUUUUAGCCCAUAUAAAGAUGUCCCACUAGCAGAAGAUGCACUCAGAAUGAGCAGAAAAUACUUCUGUAUUUGCAGUCAGCUAUCCAGAAAAGUCAGAUUGACCAAUCAGAUAUUACAAGUGUUAAAAGCAACAACACUGGGAGCUAAAAAGAGCAAAGAGAGUUUCACAUACAAGAUAGGUAUGUUAUCUUUGUUAUGUCUCUUGCAAUAUUGCUGUCUUAUCCUCGGAAACUAUCCAACAGAUAAAUUCUCUUUCAAUCACAUAUUCUACAAGACUGCAUAACUGUACAGAAUUUUGAAAUUGUGAGAUUCUUCCGUAUGUAGAAAUCAUCUGAACUGCAGCCUGUUCCUAGUAAAAGGCAUAUUGCAC